GACGAACGCUGGCGGCGUGCCUAAUACAUGCAAGUUGAGCGCUGAAGGUUGGUACUUGUACCGACUGGAUGAGCAGCGAACGGGUGAGUAACGCGUGGGGAAUCUGCCUUUGAGCGGGGGACAACAUUUGGAAACGAAUGCUAAUACCGCAUAAAAACUUUAAACACAAGUUUUAAGUUUGAAAGAUGCAAUUGCAUCACUCAAAGAUGAUCCCGCGUUGUAUUAGCUAGUUGGUGAGGUAAAGGCUCACCAAGGCGAUGAUACAUAGCCGACCUGAGAGGGUGAUCGGCCACAUUGGGACUGAGACACGGCCCAAACUCCUACGGGAGGCAGCAGUAGGGAAUCUUCGGCAAUGGACGAAAGUCUGACCGAGCAACGCCGCGUGAGUGAAGAAGGUUGUCGGAUCGGAAAACUCUGUUGGUAGAGAAGAACGUUGGUGAGAGUGGAAAGCUCAUCAAGUGACGGUAACUACCCAGAAAGGGACGGCUAACUACGUG
rnacentral:rRNA from 1 species